ACCAGCGGAGGGAUCAUUACCGAGGUUUACAACUCCCAAACCCCUGUGAACAUACCUUAAUGUUGCCUCGGCGGAUCAGCCCGCGCCCCGUAAAACGGGACGGCCCGCCAGAGGACCCAAACUCUAAUGUUUCUUAUUGUAACUUCUGAGUAAAACAAACAAAUAAAUCAAAACUUUCAACAACGGAUCUCUUGGUUCUGGCAUCGAUGAAGAACGCAGCAAAAUGCGAUAAGUAAUGUGAAUUGCAGAAUUCAGUGAAUCAUCGAAUCUUUGAACGCACAUUGCGCCCGCUGGUAUUCCGGCGGGCAUGCCUGUUCGAGCGUCAUUUCAACCCUCAAGCCCCCGGGUUUGGUGUUGGGGAUCGGCUCUGCCCUUCUGGGCGGCGCCGCCCCCGAAAUACAUUGGCGGUCUCGCUGCAGCCUCCAUUGCGUAGUAGCUAACACCUCGCAACUGGAACGCGGCGCGGCCAUGCCGUAAAACCCCAACUUCUGAAUGUUGACCUCGGAUCAGGUAGGAAUACCCGCUGAACUUAAGCAUAUCAAUAAGCGGAGGAAAAGAAACCAACAGGGAUUGCCCUAGUAACGGCGAGUGAAGCGGCAACAGCUCAAAUUUGAAAUCUGGCUUUCGGGCCCGAGUUGUAAUUUGUAGAGGAUACUUUUGAUGCGGUGCCUUCCGAGUUCCCUGGAACGGGACGCCAUAGAGGGUGAGAGCCCCGUCUGGUUGGAUGCCAAAUCUCUGUAAAGUUCCUUCGACGAGUCGAGUAGUUUGGGAAUGCUGCUCUAAAUGGGAGGUAUAUGUCUUCUAAAGCUAAAUAUUGGCCAGAGACCGAUAGCGCACAAGUAGAGUGAUCGAAAGAUGAAAAGCACUUUGAAAAGAGAGUUAAAAAGUACGUGAAAUUGUUGAAAGGGAAGCGUUUAUGACCAGACUUGGACUUGGUUAAUCAUCUGGGGUUCUCCCCAGUGCACUUUUCCAGUUCAGGCCAGCAUCAGUUUUCGCCGGGGGAUAAAGGCAGCGGGAAUGUGGCUCUCUUCGGGGAGUGUUAUAGCCCGUUGUGUAAUACCCUGGUGGGGACUGAGGUUCGCGCUCUGCAAGGA
rnacentral:rRNA from 1 species